rnacentral:rRNA from 1 species
AAGAGCUUGCUCUUAUGAAGUUAGCGGCGGACGGUUUAGUAUCUCGUGGGUAACUUGCCCAUGGGACUGGGAUAAUUGCGGGGGACCGGGGCUAAUACCGGAUUAACAUUUUGAACCGCAUGGUUCGAAAUUGAAAGGCGGCUUCGGCUGUCACUUAUGGAUGGACCCGCGUCGCAUUAGCUAGUUGGUGAGGUAACGGCUCACCAAGGCAACGAUGCGUAGCCGACCUGAGAGGGUGAUCGGCCACACUGGGACUGAGACACGGCCCAGACUCCUACGGGAGGCAGCAGUAGGGAAUCUUCCGCAAUGGACGAAAGUCUGACGGAGCAACGCCGCGUGAGUGAUGAAGGCUUUCGGGUCGUAAAACUCUGUUGUUAGGGAAGAACAAGUGCUAGUUGAAUAAGCUGGCACCUUGACGGUACCUAACCAGAAAGCCACGGCUAACUACGUGCCAGCAGCCGC